UACGGGGGGGGCAAGCGUUGUUCGGAAUUACUGGGCGUAAAGGGCUCGUAGGCGGCCAACUAAGUCAGACGUGAAAUCCCUCGGCUUAACCGGGGAACUGCGUCUGAUACUGGAUGGCUUGAGAUUGGGAGAGGGAUGCGGAGUUCCAGGUGUAGCGGUGAAAUGCGUAGAUAUCUGGAGGAACACCGGUGGCGAAGGCGGCAUCCUGGACCAACACUGACGCUGAGGAGCGAAAGCCAGGGGAGCAAACGGG
rnacentral:rRNA from 1 species